GGGCGACUAGCUCAAUGGUAGAGCAUCGGACUCUUAAUCCGCUGGCUCAGGGUUCGAGUCCCUGGUCGCCCA
rnacentral:tRNA from 3 species